CUCCCCUUGCGUCUGCCGGGCUGAGGGACCAGCUGAAGGGCACGCGGGCGGGGGAGGCGGAGGGAGGCAGAGGCCGUCUGAGGACAGGCGCGGCGGCGCGGCGGCGCGGCCCCGGGAGGAGCACGGCGGGCGCGUGCGAAGAGCCGGCUCGGGCGUUUCUGAGCGCGGCCGAGGCCGGGGAAGUUCCUGCGCAGUGAGAAGCCGCACACGCUGCGGCUGUGCUGCGGUGAGGGGACCCAGGAAGUUCGAGCCCGGCCAGGGCCGCCUCCCGCCGGGGGGAGAAUCUUACAUCAAUUAACAGCCACCCCGCGCCCUCCUGGGUCCGUGCCGAGAGUAAACAGCACGCCGAGCGGGUUAUGACCUGCUGAGAUGCAGGGGUGUGCUGGGGAGUCAUUCAAACUUAGGAAACGUCCCACCCGCAUUUCCACCGACCGGUUAGGAAAUGAGUGUUGAUGCAGCCACUGUUAGGUGAAGAAGCUUGUUCCCAAGAGGAAGCCAUUAAUGUCUGUGAGCCAAGAGGGACCAGCUUUGAAAUAUGGUUGGUGGGGAAAGGACUGGACAGGACCCCGGCGUGUUUAUAACUAACAUGACUUACAUGCGAAUGCUUUCGAGUCCCAAGUUUAGGAGACAGGGAUAAAAUUCUAAAUGACGGUGACACCUCGGACAAGGGAGACUACAAAAACCUGAUACUACGGACUGAAGAGCACCUAGAGAGUUAGGAGAGAAGACUAGGAGAAUAUUAUCGCAAAAGAAAAGGGGGAGAGAAUUUCAGAAAGAAAAUAUCUUGAAGAAAGACACUCAGCUCCAUGGCGGCAGUAGUUGGCGGUGACUGUGGGACUCCCUCUGCCUUCCUUCUUUGCAGGACUCCAGUCAACAGCCAGUGAGGAGCUGAGGCCCUCAGUCCAACAACCUCUGAGGAACUGAAUCCUGCCAACAGCUGCUUGAGUGAGCUUGGAAAAGAAUCAAGCCCCUUAUCAAGCCAACCACAGCCCUAGCAGAGACCUUGAUUGCAGCCUGUGAGAGACCCUGAGCCAGAGACCCAGCUAAGCCACACCCAGAUUCUGGACCCACAGACACUGUGAAAUAGGAACUUCGAAGCCUCUGUUUCCUCGUUGUCCAUCAUUCUCCAAUCCCUGGUAUUCCGGUUUGCACCACUAGGACACUACUGAGACGGCUCCUGGAGCGGCACCACAGCCUCUCGAUGCCAAAUGAGGAGCGCUUAGCGACAGCGAUGAUGACCCACUCUGAAAGAAGUGUUCUUCCGCGUCCGCUGUGGCACCCCUGGUUUUCCUCGUAAUUCUACCGACUAACGUCUGCACAGCCCUUUCUCUGCAUCACCUUUACCGUGGGCUGGGCUUCUUUGCUGACUCCUCUUUCUCUCCACUCUCUAAACCCUGCAGACACCCUCCUCUCCCCUCAGAGAGCGCCCCUCGGAGCCUUCCAGCCUCUCACCUCGGCACUGAUGACCCCCAGAUGCCCAGCUCGCAGCUUGCAGCUCGCAGCUCCGUACCCACCACCUCCAGAGCUCAGCCCUCAGUGUGUCAAGCUCCUGCCACCCACCUCAGUCUUCAUCUCCCCCAACACCACCCCCCGCCCACGCUACGGCUGCUUCACUUCCUCAUUCCUGUUGCAACCACCACCAUCUUCCAGUUGCGCGAGCAUCACCUUCCAUCGUCUUUGGUUUUUAUUUAGGCCUUGCCUAAAUCCUUGCCUUCCACACCCUCGUCACCAGUCAAAUGAAUGAGAAACAGUCUUCGGCAGGCC
rnacentral:lncRNA from 1 species